CCCUUAGAUGUUCUGGGCCGCACGCGUGCUACACUGAGUGGAUCAGCGGGUCGGGUUGCGCGAAAGUGUUUCCUAAUCUUGAAAUCCGCUCGUGAUGGGGAUUGACGGUUGCAAUUUUCCGUCAUGAACGAGGAAUACCUUGUAAGCGCGGGUCAUCAUCCCGCGCUGAAUACGUCCCUGCCCUUUGUACACACCGCCCGUCGCUCCUACCGAUUGAGUGGUCCGGUGAGGCUUUGGGAUCUGAGCAAAGAGAGCGUUUCGCUCGUUUUGCCCGGAAAACUCAGUCGAACCUUAUCAUUUAGAGGAAGGAGAAGUCGUAACA
rnacentral:rRNA from 1 species